rnacentral:rRNA from 1 species
UACGAAGGGGGCUAGCGUUGUUCGGAAUUACUGGGCGUAAAGCGCGCGCAGGCGGUUCUUUAAGUCAGGGGUGAAAGCCCAGAGCUCAACUCUGGAAUUGCCUUUGAAACUAGAGAACUUGGGUACGGGAGAGGUGAGUGGAAUUCCGAGUGUAGAGGUGAAAAUUCGUAGAUAUUCGGAAGAACACCAGUGGCGAAGGCGGCUCACUGGCCCGUUACCGACGCUCAGGCGCGACAGCGUGGGGAGCAAACAGG